GCCAGCAUUGCAGAGCUGCAGUUUCAAGGCUCUCGCAAACAGAGACUGAUCCCAUCAGAAUGAAGAGAAGUUGAUGGCAUCUGCUGAGCUUCAUAGAGAAGGGCUUUGCAUGUAAACUGAAAAAGGAUACUACCAAUGCUCUUAUCUACCAAAGUCUCCUAGAACCCUUGAUUCUUCUUUGAUCACAGGAUCCUGUUCAUAUCUUGCUUCUCCUUGUGUGCAUGAAAGACCACCAAAGUUACCCUACAAGGACCUGCCUCAUGAUCCACUGAACUUUGCUUUCUAUCACUGAUGAUGGAAACAUUGUGUUCUAGCGAGACAGGCGAGCAAUAUCCAGGAUGAUACUCUCUCAUGAUGCUGGGCAUCAGUGAGCCAUAGCUCCCAGUCAGCUGUACCAUCAGAAGGACUGAUUCACAACAGAAAUGCCCA